rnacentral:rRNA from 1 species
UGGGGAAUAUUGGACAAUGGGGGAAACCCUGAUCCAGCAAUGCCGCGUGUGUGAAGAAGGCCUUAGGGUUGUAAAGCACUUUCAGUUGGGAGGAAUAUCUUAUAGUUAAUAGCUGUAAGUUUGACGCUACCAAAAGAAGAAGCACCGGCAAACUCUGUGCCAGCAGCCGCGGUAAUACAGAGGGUGCAAGCGUUAAUCGGAAUUACUGGGCGUAAAGCGCGCGUAGGUGGAUAAGUAAGUUGGAUGUGAAAUCCCCGGGCUCAACCUGGGAACUGCAUUCAAAACUGCUUUUCUAGAGUAUAGUAGAGGGGAGUGGAAUUUCCGGUGUAGCGGUGAAAUGCGUAGAUAUCGGAAGGAACACCAGUGGCGAAGGCGACUCCCUGGACUAAUACUGACACUGAGGUGCGAAAGCGUGGGGAGCAAACAGG